UGCAAAUGAUGAUAACUAUCACGACGGUCUUCCAAGUCUGUGAGGCUCUGACGACACUGCCUUAUGGCAUUUCUCUGAUGCAGCAUG